GGAGCACCAUGCAGCCGAGCGGUAUUUCUUCUUCGGGAGAGAGAGAGCGGCGUACGGGUGCGGCCCAUUUGUGCACCCUGCCUUUAUCUGGAGGAUAGCCUUUCGAAAGCAAGAUUAAUACUCCAUAAUAUAUUAAUUGGCAUCAAUUGAUAUUGAAAACUCCGGUGGAUAGAGAUGGGCACGCGCAAGAUUAGCUAGUUGGUGAGGUAACGGCUCACCAAGGCAAUGAUCUUUAGGGGGCCUGAGAGGGUGAUCCCCCACACUGGUACUGAGACACGGACCAGACUCCUACGGGAGGCAGCAGUGAGGAAUAUUGGUCAAUGGGUGCAAGCCUGAACCAGCCAUCCCGCGUGAAGGAUUAAGGUCCUAUGGAUUGUAAACUUCUUUUGUAUAGGGAUAAACCUACCCUCGUGAGGGUAGCUGAAGGUACUAUACGAAUAAGCACCGGCUAACUCCGUGCCAGCAGCCGCGGUAAUACGGAGGGUGCAAGCGUUAUCCGGAUUUAUUGGGUUUAAAGGGUCCGUAGGCGGACUUAUAAGUCAGUGGUGAAAGCCUGUCGCUUAACGAUAGAACUGCCAUUGAUACUGUAAGUCUUGAGUAUAUUUGAGGUAGCUGGAAUAAGUAGUGUAGCGGUGAAAUGCAUAGAUAUUACUUAGAACACCCAUUGCGAAGGCAGGUUACCAAGAUAUAACUGACGCUGAGGGACGAAAGCGUGGGUAGCGAACAGGAUUAGAUACCCUGGUAGUCCACGCUGUAAACAAUGCUAACUCCGUUUUUGGAACUUCCGUAUCAGAAACCCAGCCAAAAUGAUAAGUUAACCCCCCUGGGGAGUACCCUCGCCAGAGUGAAA
rnacentral:rRNA from 1 species